rnacentral:tRNA from 1 species
GGGAUUGUGGCUCAGUGGUAGAGCACUUGCCUAGCAUGUGUGAGGCACUGGGUUCAAUUCUCAGCACCG